rnacentral:sRNA from 1 species
CAGCGACCAAGCCGCAGGUGGCGGCGAGCGCGGGGCUCGGCCCGAGCUCAGGAGAUGGGGAAACUGAGGCACGGAGCUGGACAGUGACUCAGACACCAGGAGCUGCCUGGAGUGGAGCUGAGAGCUCAGGUCUGGGCUCAGCCAGUCCAGAGUGCAAAUCUACUGUCCCUUCCUAGCUGUGUGAUCUUGGCAAGCACUGGACGGGGCCUGCAGGGGUCUCCACAGAGACCAUCAGGAUGUCGUAUUUUGGGGAGCAUUUUUGGGUAAGACCCACUCUUAUUUAGGCGGGGGAUGCUGGCAGGGCUGUGGGGACUUUUAUGGAGAUGGGGGGACUGGGUGAGUUGCGGUUACAGCCUUGGACAGGUAGAGGAUCUGCAAGGGAUGGAAGUUAAAGUGGGAAGAGUCAGGCUGGGUUUGAAUCCACACCCACCCCAGACCUCACAGGCCUUACAACCUUGGGCAAGUCAUAGCUUGUGUCAUAGGGAGACCAAGGCCCAGAGUGGGAACGUCUAGGCAACCUGAAGUUGCCCCAUGAAAAAGUGCAGAGUCAGUGCUCAAACCCAGGGCCAAACUGAACUUCCAGGACCCAGGGUCAUUCCAGCCAGGGAAUUUCCACCCCCUUCCCAUCCUGGAGAACUGGGGGGUUUUCCUGACCUGGCGUCUCAUGGCCUGUGCACCCCUCCACUGUCCAGGC